UACGAAGGGGGCUAGCGUUGUUCGGAAUUACUGGGCGUAAAGCGCACGUAGGCGGAUACUUAAGUCAGGGGUGAAAUCCCGGGGCUCAACCCCGGAACUGCCUUUGAUACUGGGUAUCUCGAGUCCGGAAGAGGUGAGUGGAAUUCCGAGUGUAGAGGUGAAAUUCGUAGAUAUUCGGAGGAACACCAGUGGCGAAGGCGGCUCACUGGUCCGGUACUGACGCUGAGGAGCGAAAGUGUGGGGAGCGAACAGG
rnacentral:rRNA from 1 species